CGAUUUUCGGAGGCGGUUGGCGUUAGCGACCGGUAGCAGGCGGGAGGGUGGCCUUACGAGGUUUCGAGGAAGGUGACUGAGUGGUGGACCCCAGAGCGAGGCUCAUCCCAGCUUAAGGACGAGGGGCACCGAGGACCCGGGCCAGGCCUGCGGGCCGCCAGCCUCAGCGAGGACUGUCGUUGGGCCUGGCCGCGUCCCGCGCGGCUGCGCUGUGUCCUGGGCUGUUCUCUUGUCAGCACUACCGCUAGUCAGAGCUGAGUGGUCAAUUCUACAUAUCCAGCAACAUGAUGCAUUCUUCUUCAUUUCUGUUGAAAUAUAACUUCAUGUGA